GUAUCCAUGGUGCAUUUGAGGUAUACACUAAGCUAUCUGAGGUAUACACUGAGGUAUCUGAGGUAUACACUAAGCCAUUCGAGGUAUAUGCUGAAGUAUCCAAGGUAUACCCGAGGUACCAUCAAUUUUUGUAGAAUUUUGAUAUAGUCUCAGUAAAAAGAUCAUCACUUUGUCAUCGGAUGUCAGAAUACCUCAGUUGAUCCUAUUCCAUAAAGCUCUUUUCAAGCUCUAUAAGACUAGCUGCUUCACCACCACUACAGAUUUCAAAGCCUAAUUCAAUUAUCUG
rnacentral:lncRNA from 1 species